GCCAGGUUAGUAUGAUAGGUAGUACGUCGAAUUUAGGUUUCGUAGGAAGGGGAAUCCCUACAUGGCU
rnacentral:tRNA from 1 species